UCUCUAUGCCGACGCCCUUGUUGACUUUCGCUCUGUAAAUAAGAAAAUAUAAACUUAACUAUUAUGUAAUUGUUAUUUAAUGUAUGUUAUAGUGUAGUGCAAUGUCAAGAUUAUCUCAAGUUACAAUUGCAUCAGUUAAAAGCAGCCUCAAGGUUGGCAUCCAAGGACCUUCUCUGUGUCUGAAGAACAGCAAUUCCCCGGCACUGUUCACCAUGAUCUCGAUGUGGUCAUGACUAGAAACAACAAAUUAUUGAAUACAUAAUAUAUUUAUUCAUUUUUAAAGAUUAUGAUACCUUUACUGUUCACAGAUUAAA